UAAACUACGAUUAGAUACCCUAUUAUUUUAAAUGUAAAAUUGUAUUAAACUUGAGUAGUAUUAGAUAUGUGCUUGAAACUCAAAGAAUUUGGCGGUGUUUUAGUCCUUUCAGAGGAACCUGUCCCAUGAUCGAUAGUCCACGUUUUACCUUACUUAAUCUUGUUUUUCAGCUUGUAUACCGCCGUCGUCAGAGUGUCCUAAGAGGGGUGGAAUUUUCUUGAUUUUAUAUUAGAAAUGAUGUCAGGUCAAGGUGCAGUUUAUGAUUAAGUGGAGAUGGGUUACAAUAAAUGUAUUUAUAACGGAAAAUGAAUGGAAGAGAUUUAUUUGAAGGUGGAUUUGAUUGUAAUUGGUUAUAUUAAAAUAAUUUGAUUUUGGCUCUAAAACAUGCACACAUCGCCCGUCGCUCUUA
rnacentral:rRNA from 1 species